rnacentral:rRNA from 1 species
UACGUAGGGGCAAGCGUUGUCCGGAUUUAUUGGGCGUAAAGAGCGUGUAGGCGGUUAGGUAGGUCCGUUGUGAAAACUCGAGGCUCAACCUCGAGACGCCGAUGGAAACCAUCUAACUAGAGUCCGGAAGAGGAGAGUGGAAUUCCUGGUGUAGCGGUGAAAUGCGCAGAUAUCAGGAAGAACACCCGUGGCUAAGGCGGCUCUCUAGUACGGUACUGACGCUGAGACGCGAAAGCGUGGGGAGCGAACAGG